GAACGGUAGAGUAGCAAUACUUGAGAGUGGCGAACGGGUGAGUAAUAUAUCGGAACGUGCCCAACUGUGGGGGAUAACGUAGAGAAAUUUACGCUAAUACCGCAUACGAUCUAAGGAUGAAAGCGGGGGAUCGCAAGACCUCGCGCAGUUGGAGCGGCUGAUAUCAGAUUAGCUUGUUGGUGAGGUAAAAGCUCACCAAGGCGACGAUCUGUAGCUGGUUUGAGAGAACGACCAGCCACACUGGGACUGAGACACGGCCCAGACUCCUACGGGAGGCAGCAGUGGGGAAUUUUGGACAAUGGGCGAAAGCCUGAUCCAGCAAUGCCGCGUGCAGGAAGAAGGCCUUCGGGUUGUAAACUGCUUUUGUACGGAACGAAACGGUCCGCUUUAAUACAGUGGGCUAAUGACGGUACCGUAAGAAUAAGCACCGGCUAACUACGUGCCAGCAGCCGCGGUAAUACGUAGGGUGCGAGCGUUAAUCGGAAUUACUGGGCGUAAAGCGUGCGCAGGCGGUUAUAUAAGACAGUUGUGAAAUCCCCGGGCUCAACCUGGGAAUUGCAUCUGUGACUGUAUAGCUAGAGUACGGUAGAGGGGGAUGGAAUUCCGCGUGUAGCAGUGAAAUGCGUAGAUAUGCGGAGGACACCGAUGGCGAAGGCAAUCCCCUGGACCUGUACUGACGCUCAUGCACGA
rnacentral:rRNA from 1 species